rnacentral:rRNA from 1 species
CGCGUAGGCGGCCCGCUAAGUCGAACGUGAAAUCCCCAGGCUCAACCUGGGAACUGCGUCCGAUACUGGCAGGCUUGAAUCCGGGAGAGGGAUGUGGAAUUCCAGGUGUAGCGGUGAAAUGCGUAGAUAUCUGGAGGAACACCGGUGGCGAAGGCGGCAUCCUGGACCGGUAUUGACGCUGAGGCGCGAAAGCUAGGGAGCAAACG